rnacentral:rRNA from 1 species
CCCGCUGAACUUAAGCAUAUCAGUCAGCGGAGGAAGAGAAACUAACAAGGAUUCCUGCAGUAGCGCGCGAGCGAAGCAGGAUCAGCACGGAUUUGGAAUCUGGGCCAGCAAUGGACCUGAAUUGUAGAGCACGGAUCGGGCUGGGCGCGGUGCUCGAGUCUUCUGGAAGGAGGCGCCACAGAGGGUGAGAGCCCCGUUGGGCACCGUCGCGGCAGCCGGGAAGCGUGCACAGAGUCGAGUUGCUUGGGAAUGCAGCUCAAAGGGGUGGUACAGCACAUCCAAGGCUAAAUAUAGGCAGGAGACCGAUAGCGAACAAGUACCGCGAGGGAAAGAUGAGAAGCAAUCCGAGAGGAUAGUGAAAAGAGCGUGAAAUUGUUAAAAGGGAAGCGUAAGAGCGGGGGGGUGUGAGUGCGUUGGUGUAGAGAGCUGGGUGAGGGGGCUAGUUGUUUACGGGUGGUUUGCCAUUUGUUUACGGCUGGUCUGCUUCUCAACUCUUAUUCCGAUCACACACAGACUGGCCGUUCCGUGCUGCAACAAGACUCUGUUCGUCAAGCGCAUUCGUGCAGGCGAUGGCAGAGGGAUAGGCAGCGUGGAGAGGCUCGUGGUUGGGGAGAGGUGAUUGGGAUUGUGCAUGGGUUAUGCUGUGCACUCUUAAACAGUCACCCUCCUCCCAAUCCACAUUACCACCAUCCCGCUCUUAUGUCCCGUCUUGAAACACGG